UUCGGGCCUGGCGCGAUUGGAUGAGCCCACGUCGGAUUAGCUAGUUGGCGGGUAAAGGCCCACCAAGGCGACGAUCCGUAGCUGGUCUGAGAGGAUGAUCAGCCACACUGGAACUGAGACACGGUCCAGACUCCUACGGGAGGCAGCAGUAGGGAAUAUUGGACAAUGGGCGCAAGCCUGAUCCAGCCAUGCCGCGUGAGUGAAGAAGGCCCUCGGGUUGUAAAGCUCUUUUGUCCGGAAAGAAAAGCGCCGGGUUAAUACCCUGGUGUCCUGACGGUACCGGAAGAAUAAGCACCGGCUAACUUCGUG
rnacentral:rRNA from 1 species